GGCACAGCUGCCUCUCCGCCCGGCGCGCUGCAACGGCUCCCGCGCCGACGUUUCUUCCCAGCAGGAGCCGAAUCCUGAAAGCCCAGCAGCGCAGCAGCAGCCCUUGGCUUGUGGUUCCUCAGGGCAGCGGUACAGGUAUGGCACACAGCCUGCCCCAGGUUCAGCAGUUCUCCACCCUCCGUCACGUUGAAAUCAAUGGGUGUUUCUGCUUUGACCCACGUUUUUUUCUUCCUGUUGCAACCUUGUGACUUUUCCCAGAAGCAUACACAGAUGUGUGUGUGUGUGUGACUGCCUCCUCACUCUGAGCAUGCAGUUGAGAUGCAGCCUUCGCUCUGGUGGUUCUUCAUACUCUUCCUAAGGUCUAUAUGGAAAAAUGCCUUGGAAUUGCCAGAGGCAGCAGUAGGACUGGCAGAACUCUGUUACUACUCGCAGGCAAACACAUGGCGCUUCCUGCUUAGAGACAGCCAGCUGCGAGGACUGAAGAUGAAAGUAACCUGAGCCCUCUUCCUGCUGAAAUGGAGCUCCUGUGCUCAUUUCUCUGUGUCCAACUUAGUUUUAAAUAGACCGAGCAGUGGAGCUUCUGCUGCUUCACUCCAGAGAGAUAAUUUCAUGUAUCUCUUCCUGAUACUUCAUGUUUUCCUUUUCUGCCUUUAUCCUCGAAUGCUAAUUCCAGCCUGGUCUGUUCUGCUAAUUGGAUCCUUACUCUUUAUAGCAUUUAAACCCUCUUUGGUCCUCCAGGUCAUCACUUUGCCAUGAGUGAAUGACCAGGGGGCUGGAUGUGCGCUGACGCCUUCUGGAUCCAGAACUUCCAGAUUCUAUCAGGGAAUAACAAGGGAUAGCUGGUGGCAAAUUGCAGGCGGAGGGCACAGGUUUGUGUGGCCAUUGCCCUUCCAGCAACAUCCCUGUGCGAGAGCCCGGUGAGGGAUUGCUGUGAUCUGGCUGCGGUCCCUGGAGCACAGGGCAGGGAGCGGUGGGUGCCCGUGAGCCCGGAGAAGGGAAACGGGGCUGGAAGCAGUCUGGUGAAAUCCGUGCAGAAUGCAGCGUGAUGCUGAAGCAUGGCAGCUCGUGGGCAGCCCGGGGGCAGGAGCACCAGCGGGGGCUCGCGUUUGGCAGCAACAGCGACUGCUGCUCCAAUCUGCAGUGCCACAGACUCCCCCAAGAUAUUAUUCUUUACUUAUUUCCAUGGUAUCUGAGCGCCGCAGCGAUUAUAUAAAUAGACACUUUCUGGAGGAACUCUCCUCUCUGCUAGGCUACAUUUUCUGAAUUGCAGUCGCGAGCCUUUUUGUUUUGCAGCGGAAUGAUGGGCUACACUGAGAUGCCGAGGGCUUGUAGUCGGGUUUGGUUAUGCUGAUCAGCCCGUUCCUGAUGAAAAAUGAAGGCCACGUUGAUAGCAUCACCUCUGCCCUGGUGCAGAGAACAGCUGAUGGGACGUGCGUGGGGCCAGGCUUAGCUCCCACCCGCAGGAGCAGCCCACACAGCCCCUUUGUGGUGAUACAUGUGUGUAAGUGCCGGGUGCUCAGUGCCCAGGUGGGCGGCAGGGUGCUGUGCUCCCCUCUCUUUCCGGAGCCACAGCCUUUGUUCUGGGAUGGCACGCGGUGUGCUCGCAAUGGCAGGAGGUGGUGAGACAUGAGUUGGUGCCGCCAGCACUCUGCCCUUUGGCGCCGGUGCACACUGCCGUCUCCCCAGUGGAGAGAGGGAGGAGCUGGCUGCCCUGGGACGUUCUGCCUGUACUGGGUGAACGCUGAGCUGCAUCUGACUGCUAAGGGAUGCUUAGAGCUUGGGAGUCGCCAUUUGUACGCAGCCUUCACUCUUGGUUUUGUUCCAGUGCUUACGUGAAAAGGCACUUGUCGAGUUGCCCAGGAAAUGGAAAUCACAGGACGUUCAUACUGCAGAUAUAACAUUAUUUUUGUUUUCCCUUUGGUGAAAUGUAAAGUAACAGCCCCGGGGUAGUGCUGUGGAUGAUGGCCUCUCAGCUGUUAGCGUCAGGUUUCCUCAUAGGUGUAGAGCUGAAGGGAGCCGUGGAAGUGACCGGCAUGGUGCCAGCCCGUGUGCAUGGGCUGUGCAGAGCCCGGCACACCCUGCUGAUCUCUUGUGGACCGGCCGUGGAGGGAUGGAUGGCAAGUCUGUGCCUUCCCAAGGAGCAAGCAGGCUUGCAGGAAAUUCCAUGCGUGGUACUGCUGCAAUGUUGCUUGCCAAGAAACUUUGGAAUCCUUCCUUCAUGUUGUUUGAAAAUUCACGGAG
ensembl:lncRNA